rnacentral:snRNA from 1 species
AGCUUUGCGCAGUGGCAGUAUCGUAGCCAAUGAGGUUUAUCCGAGGUGCGAUUAUUGCUAAUUGGAUAUUUGUACUUUGGCAUGCAGUACAAGCAUCGGACUUUGCUUCUGGGUAUUUGUUUCGCUUUGGCUCCAUCCCUUCAUUCUUUCUGGAGUUAUUUCUCCACUGAUCUCCAGUA